GAUGAACGCUGGCGGCGUGCUUAACACAUGCAAGUCGAACGAGAAAUGGAGACGGAAACCUUCGGGCGGAAGGCUUCAUUUCGAGUGGCGGACGGGUGAGUAACGCGUGGGUAACCUGCCUCAUACAGGGGGAUAACAGUUGGAAACGACUGUUAAUACCGCAUAAGACCACAGCACCGCAUGAUGCGGGGGUAAAAACUCCGGUGGUAUGAGAUGGACCCGCGUUCGAUUAGCCAGUUGGCGGGGUAACGGCCCACCAAAGCGACGAUCGAUAGCCGAUCUGAGAGGAUGACCGGCCACAUUGGGACUGAGACACGGCCCAAACUCCUACGGGAGGCAGCAGUGGGGAAUAUUGCACAAUGGGGGAAACCCUGAUGCAGCGACGCCGCGUGAGUGAAGAAGUACUUCGGUAUGUAAAGCUCUAUCAGCAGGGAAGAAAAUGACGGUACCUGAGUAAGAAGCCCCGGCUAACUACGU
rnacentral:rRNA from 1 species